GACGAACGCUGGCGGCGUGCUUAACACAUGCAAGUCGAACGGUGAAGCGCCUUCUUUUUUGGUGGGUGUGGAUGAGUGGCGAACGGGUGCGUAACACGUGAGUAACCUGCACCCUUCUUCGGGAUAACCGCAUGAAAGUGUGGCCAAUACGGGAUAUUCUGGGUCUGUCGCAUGAUGGGUCUGGGAAAGAUAUUGUUUCGGUGGGGGAUGGUCUCGCGGCCUAUCAGCUUGUUGGUGGGGUGAUGGCCUACCAAGGCGGUGACGGGUAGCCGGCCUGGGAGGGUGGACGGUCACGCUGGGGAUGAGACGCGGCCAAGCCUCCUGCGGGAGGCAGCAGUGAUGAAUAUUGCACGAUGGGCGGAAGCCUGAUGCAGCGACGCCGCGUGAGGGAUGGAGGACUUCGGGUUGUGAACCUCUUUCGCCAGUGAAGCAGGGCUGCUUCGUUUGUGGGUGGGUUGACGGUAGCUGGAUAAGAAGCGCCGGCUAACUACGUG
rnacentral:rRNA from 1 species